UUGAAUUGAAGAGUUUGAUCAUGGCUCAGAUUGAACGCUGGCGGCAGGCUUAACACAUGCAAGUCGAACGGUAGCAGGAAGAAAGCUUGCUUUCUUUGCUGACGAGUGGCGGACGGGUGAGUAAUGCUUGGGAAUCUGGCUUAUGGAGGGGGAUAACUGUGGGAAACUGCAGCUAAUACCGCGUAUUCUCUGAGGAGGAAAAGGUGGGACCUUAGGGCCACCUGCCAUAAGAUGAGCCCAAGUGGGAUUAGGUAGUUGGUGGGGUAAAGGCCUACCAAGCCUGCGAUCUCUAGCUGGUCUGAGAGGAUGACCAGCCACACUGGAACUGAGACACGGUCCAGACUCC
rnacentral:rRNA from 1 species